UACGGAGGGUGCGAGCGUUAAUCGGAAUUACUGGGCGUAAAGCGCACGCAGGCGGUCUGUCAAGUCGGGUGUGAAAUCCCCGGGCUCAACCCGGGAACUGCAUUCGAUACUGGCAGACUAGAGUCUUUUAGAGGGGGGUAGAAUUCCAGGUGUAGCGGUGAAAUGCGUAGAGAUCUGGAGGAAUACCGAUGGCGAAGGCGGCCCCCUGGAAAAGGACUGACGCUCAGGUGCGAAAGCGUGGGGAGCAAACAGG
rnacentral:rRNA from 1 species